UGAAUUCACGGUGGAAAUACGAAGGGAAACAAAGGGUUUUUACCAAAAAAAAAACAACACCUUCGAUAAAUAAUAUACGAGUUUUUUUUCCCAAUAUAAUGUAAAUUGUUAUUGUACUUGAAACACUGUUUAAAAUAUCUAAGUAAUAGUAACGGUGGCUCACAAACACGAAGGCCGUGGGAGAUUUUAAUUUAUACCUACUCCGCAAAACUGUGCGGGUAAGUACACUCAGAUGCAGAAAUGCGUCUAUAUAUAUAUAUAUAUAUAUAUACAUAUAAAAAACGGUUUAAUAAUACGGAGUCAAUGUAGUCAAAUUACCAAAUACGAUAUCUGAAAUCGAAUAUAAAAUAUUAUCGUUGU